GAUGGCUGCAGUAAUUUGACUGUACAAAGGUAGCAUAAUCAUUAGUUUUUUAAUUAAAAGCUUGUAUGAAAGGUUGGACGAAAUAAAAUCUGUCUCUUUUUAAUAUAAUUAGAAUUUAAUAUUUAAGUUAAAAAGCUUAAAUAGAUUUAAAAGACGAGAAGACCCUAUAGAGUUUAAUAAUUUUUUUUUAUUAAUUAAUUUAGAUUUAUUUAUUUUAUUUUAAGAAAAUUAUUUUAUUGGGGUAAUAGAAAGAUUUAAAUAAUUCUUUUUUAAUUAAAUCAUUAAUUUAUGAAAAUUUAUGAUCCAUUGAAUUUUGAUUAUAAGAUUAAAUUACCUUAGGGAUAACAGCGUAAUUUUUUUUAAGAGUUCAUAUCGAUAAAAAAGUUUGCGACCUCGAUGUUGGAUUAAAGAUUAGUUUAGGUGUAGAAGUUUAAAUUUUUGGUCUGUUCGACCAUUGAAUCUUUACAUGAUCUGAGUUCAAACCGGUGUAAGCCAGGUUGGUUUCUAUCUUUAAAAAGAUUUGAUAUUUUAGUACGAAAGGACCAAAUAUUAUAUAUAUAAAUAUUUAAAUAUUGAAUAUU
rnacentral:rRNA from 1 species